rnacentral:rRNA from 2 species
GUGGACGCCAGUCUGCAUGGAGCCGACCUUGAAAUACCACCCUUUAAUGUUUGAUGUUCUAACGUGGACCCGUGAUCCGGGUUGCGGACAGUGUCUGGUGGGUAGUUUGACUGGGGCGGUCUCCUCCUAAAGAGUAACGGAGGAGCACGAAGGUUGGCUAAUCCUGGUCGGACAUCAGGAGGUUAGUGCAAUGGCAUAAGCCAGCUUGACUGCGAGCGUGACGGCGCGAGCAGGUGCGAAAGCAGGUCAUAGUGAUCCGGUGGUUCUGAAUGGAAGGGCCAUCGCUCAACGGAUAAAAGGUACUCCGGGGAUAACAGGCUGAUACCGCCCAAGAGUUCAUAUCGACGGCGGUGUUUGGCACCUCGAUGUCGGCUCAUCACAUCCUGGGGCUGAAGUAGGUCCCAAGGGUAUGGCUGUUCGCCAUUUAAAGUGGUACGCGAGCUGGGUUUAGAACGUCGUGAGACAGUUCGGUCCCUAUCUGCCGUGGGCGCUGGAGAACUGAGGGGGGCUGCUCCUAGUACGAGAGGACCGGAGUGGACGCAUCACUGGUGUUCGGG